UACGUAGGGGGCAAGCGUUGUCCGGAAUCAUUGGGCGUAAAGCGCACGUAGGCGGCCCGGUAAGUCCGUUGUGAAAGUCAGAGGCUCAACCUCUGGAGGCCAAUGGAUACUGCCGGGCUAGAGUCCGGAAGAGGCGAGUGGAAUUCCUGGUGUAGCGGUGGAAUGCGCAGAUAUCAGGAGGAACACCAAUGGCGAAGGCAGCUCGCUGGGACGGUACUGACGCUGGAGGUGCGAAAGCGUGGGGAGCGAACAGG
rnacentral:rRNA from 1 species